GCCGUAAUAUUUUAUUUUAAAAAGCUCUUAAAACUAUAAAAAUGCUUUUAUUGUGAGCUCGUGAGACUGCGCGCGCUGAUGCAGCGGUGAUUUCUCUCUGGUCUUUCUCACUGUUCUGGCCAGACAUCAAUUAUUAAUGAGAUCUGAGCCGGUAAUAAUAACAUAUGUUGGUUCAGCUUGUCAGUGUGAAUUAAAUGUGUAUUUAUUUGUCCGAAAAACCAUCACCGUGUUCUGGAGCGCAGAGCAAUCGAUGUGAUGUUCAGCCCUUAGACAAAGAAAAUCUCACAAGCACUCAUAAACACUCAUUUUCAUCUCUAUAAUAUGUUCUUCUAAUUGUUUUGUGUUAAUUCGCCGCUGUGUUUUAAUGUAAAAGGCUGUAGUUUCUGUAUGUAGGCUUUUUUCCCUUCAAGUGUUCAGAAGUCUCGCGCUGUCAGACAGGCUGCAGCAAAUAUUUAAUUUUAACACUCACAAACAUCUGAAUUUAGCUCUUGGUGUGUUCUAAUUGGCGGAUUGUGUGCAAUCGCCGUAAUAUUUUAUUUUUAAAAGGUCUUAAACAAGAAUAAACUCGUUUGUUGUGAGCUCGUUGAGACUGCACGCGCUGAUCAGAGCGGUGAUUUAUCUCUCGUCUAUCUCUCUGUUCUCUGGCCAUACAUCGAUUAUUAAUAAGCCCUGACCCUGUAAUAAUAAGAUAUGUUGGUUUAGCUUGUCAGUUUUAAUUAAAUGUAUUUAUUUAUUUGUAUUUUUAACCGAUUUAAAAGUGAAACUAAGGGAGACUCCUCCCUCUCACUCCCCGGGAAUUGCUCCUGUAGAGGCGCAAUUUUUCUCAGACAAUGAAAGUCUCAGCACACAUACACUCCUCACACAGAGCCAAAAAUCCAUAUUCAAAUCAAAAUAGCCGACUUCCUGUUGGUCGUAGCUAAUGACUGUAAAUUAGAAAGUUGUCCGUCUUAAUAAGAACAAUAUAUGUACCGAGUUUGGUGUCUGUAGCUAAAACUAACCCCCCCACUUUUGACAAAAGGUGGCGCUAUAGAGUGCCUCCUCCACGCCCUUUCAUAAGCUUUUGCCAGUGUCUAGCUAUCAUUAAUACUGAUAUGUGUUCUGAGUUUCAUGAAAUUCUAAGCAUUUUAUCUGCCUCAAAAUCAGAAUAUAUUAUACAGAAAAAUAUUCCAGUUUGAUAUGUUGCCAUGGCAACACUAUAUUAGAUAUCAAUAUCCCCUCAACAGAUUUACAUGGGCCGUGUUUUGUCAUUAUUCUGAUGAAGUUUGAAGCAAAUUGAGUAAAAAUAAGAUGCUGAAUUCAAAGCAUUUUGAAAAUGACACACUUCCUGCUGCCAGUUGGUGGCGCUAUAUUUUUGACUCCUAAUAGUCACAUGUAUGCGAUCGCCAUCAUACAACGAACAAAUUGAUGAAGUU
ensembl:lncRNA